GCCAGAGUAGCUCAGUGGUAGAGCAUCGCUUUCGUAAAGCGAGGGUCGUCGGUUCAAACCCGAUCUCUGGCCCCA
rnacentral:tRNA from 1 species